rnacentral:rRNA from 1 species
CGGAGGAUCCGAGCGUUAUCCGGAUUUAUUGGGUUUAAAGGGUGCGUAGGUGGCCUGUUAAGUCAGGGGUGAAAGACGGUAGCUCAACUAUCGCAGUGCCCUUGAUACUGAUGGGCUUGAAUGAACUAGAGGUAGGCGGAAUGUGACAAGUAGCGGUGAAAUGCAUAGAUAUGUCACAGAACACCAAUUGCGAAGGCAGCUUACUAUGGUUUAUUGACACUGAGGCACGAAAGCGUGGGGAUCAAACAGGAUUAGAUACCUGGUAGUCCACGCCCUAAACGAUGAAUACUCGAUGUUGGCGAUAUACGGUCAGCGUCUAAGCGAAAGCGUUAAGUAUUCCACCUGGGGAGUACGCCCGCAAGGGUG